rnacentral:rRNA from 1 species
UACGUAGGGAGCAAGCGUUGUCCGGAAUCAUUGGGCGUAAAGCGCGCGUAGGUGGCUUCGUAAGUCCGUUGUGAAAGACAAAGGCUCAACCUUUGAAUGCCGAUGGAUACUGCGAAGCUAGAGUACGGAAGAGGCGAGUGGAAUUCCUGGUGUAGCGGUGGAAUGCGCAGAUAUCAGGAGGAACACCAAUAGCGAAGGCAGCUCGCUGGGACGUUACUGACACUAAGGCGCGAAAGCGUGGGGAGCGAACAGG